AAACCAUGCUGUGGACAACUCCUCAAUAGUUUCUUGUAUCUUUCCCAAGCCUCAUAUAAUGAUUCAGACUCUUCUUGUAGAAAUGAUGCGAUAUCAUUUCUUAUCUU